rnacentral:misc_RNA from 1 species
AACGCACAUUGCGCCCCUUGGUAUUCCGGGGGGCACACCUGUUCGAGCGCCAUUUUCACCAUCGAGCCCUGCUCGGAGAUGGGCUUCGUCCUCGCGGACGGGCCCGAAACCCGUGGGCGCCUUCGUCCGGCCCUGAGCGUAGCAAGAGAAAUCCCUCGCUCGGUGGACCGUAUGGCGGCCGCCCCGACCAUUUUUCACAAGAUUGGCCUCGGAUCAGGUGGGGAUACCCGCUGAACUUAA